UACGUAGGGACCAAGCGUUGUUCGGAUUUACUGGGCGUAAAGGGCGCGUAGGCGGUAUGACAAGUCACUUGUGAAAUCUCCGGGCUUAACUCGGAACGGCCAAGUGAAACUGUCAAACUAGAGUGCGGAAGGGGCAAUCGGAAUUCUUGGUGUAGCGGUGAAAUGCGUAGAUAUCAAGAGGAACACCUGAGGUGAAGACGGGUUGCUGGGCCGACACUGACGCUGAUGCGCGAAAGCGUGGGGAGCGAACAGG
rnacentral:rRNA from 1 species